AUAAAACCAAACAAGCGGAACCUAAUAUUUCUCAAAAUUGAAUUGAAUUGAGCCAAUUUGAUUUGAUAUGAUUUGUUUCACCAGUUCUCGAAGAAUGAGAUACUUAUUUGGAUAAACAGAAAUUUCUUCUUCACUUUUUCAAGUGUAUGUUAAAUAAAUCUGAAUAUAAACAACAUUGUGAUAGACAAGACAGGUCCAAUUAAUUGAUCAAAGCAUAUAACAACAAAAAUACCAUUCAAAAUAACAAAGAAAAAAAAAUAAAGAUUAUCUUCUCUUUUUCAUUGAUGAAAGAUACUGGCUACAAGAAAAAAAAAAUCUCCAGAACUUCUGGACUGACUGGUGGAAAUUACUGGGGAAGGGCCAUCCAAUACUCAAGUUGGAGAACUGUGCUGUAUGGAUGAGGAGUCGCUUGUGGUAUAUUGGAAAAGGAGAACCAGUUAGGUUUUGAAAGUUGGAAAAGAAGAAAAAUGGGGUAGAGAGAGAGAGGCUUCUGGUAGGGAGGGCUAAGCGGUAACGGGAAUGGCAAGGAGAAGCAAGGAUGGCAACAAGUUUAGUAUUUUUGAGUGUCUAAAUUGAUCAAAA
rnacentral:misc_RNA from 1 species